UACGUAGGGUGCGAGCGUUAAUCGGAAUUACUGGGCGUAAAGCGUGCGCAGGCGGUUUUGUAAGCCCGAUGUGAAAUCCCCGGGCUUAACCUGGGAAUGGCAUUUGGGGCUGCAAGGCUUGAGUGCGGCAGAGGAGACUGGAAUUCCUGGUGUAGCAGUGAAAUGCGUAGAUAUCAGGAGGAACACCAAUGGCGAAGGCAGGUCUCUGGGCUGACACUGACGCUCAUGCACGAAAGCGUGGGGAGCAAACAGG
rnacentral:rRNA from 1 species